rnacentral:lncRNA from 1 species
UGCAUUAGAUGCGGGAGUUUUGUCAACGUUUCCUCCCUUUGUCUUCUAAACUUACUAAUUUGGAUGCUCAGAUAGAAGUAAGAAGAAAUAUAAUUAUUUGAGAUGAAGAUAUUUGAAUUGCAUGUCUUAUUGAAAUGAGAGGUUAUUUAUAGAUUUCCCUCCAAACUCUAGAGUGAUAUAGUUAUUUAAGAGUAAUGACAGAUGACUGCUUCUUGAUAAUUGAUUUCGUUACAAAUAUCCCAUUUUUUGUGUAUCUUCA